GAUGAACGCUGGCGGCGUGCCUAAUACAUGCAAGUCGAGCGAACAGACUAGGAGCUUGCUCCUCUGACGUUAGCGGCGGACGGGUGAGUAACACGUGGAUAACCUACCUAUAAGACUGGGAUAACUUCGGGAAACCGGAGCUAAUACCGGAUAAUAUAUUGAACCGCAUGGUUCAAUAGUGAAAGACGGUUUUGCUGUCACUUAUAGAUGGAUCCUCGCCGCAUUAGCUAGUUGGUAAGGUAACGGCUUACCAAGGCAACGAUGCGUAGCCGACCUGAGAGGGUGAUCGGCCACACUGGAACUGAGACACGGUCCAGACUCCUACGGGAGGCAGCAGUAGGGAAUCUUACGCAAUGGGCGAAAGCCGGACGGAGCAACGCCGCGUGAGUGAUGAAGGUCUUCGGAUCGUAAAACUCUGUUAUUAGGGAAGAACAAAUGUGUAAGUAACUAUGCACGUCUUGACGGUACCUAAUCAGAAAGCCACGGCUAACUACGUG
rnacentral:rRNA from 1 species